AGCACAAAGUGGAAAUGUGUGACUGUAAAUUUUAAACUCUAAAAUUAAUGUUCUUGGUGGAAUCAGUCAUAAUUAUGUGAACUUGUGUUUCACUUUCAGAAUAUGCUUCAUCCUAUUCUGAACUUCACUGUCUUGCCUAAAAAUUAUAAUAGCAGACAGUAUCUAACAAGAUCAGUUACCAAUGGCAGAUUUCAUUAACAUUUCUUCAUCACAGAAUCUCUCUACAUUUGAUUUUCCAUGAGUUUUUACAAAAUAGCAUUUUAAAUGAUAACGCUGCCUAUGCAGGGUGUCCAUGAUGCACAUUCAGGGGAGGUCAUUAUAAGUAUCAAUACUGGCAAAAUUUACUGUGCAUUGUUUUACAUUUGUUAUUAAUGUUGUAACUUAUUACAGUAACUGCUCAAGUACCAACCACCUUCUUUUAGGCAAACUCUCAAUCUCUAUAAAACAGAACUACUUGCUCUGCAUAGAAUGGUGUAAUCAUUUCUGAUCUGCAUAGCACAAUUGAAGAUGAAACCAGUUAAUUCUGCAAAUAUUAUGAUUUCUUUUCAUAAGGCUUUUCAUAUGCUGCCCAAAGGCACCAUAUCCAGCAACCUCAGUGGCCAGAUUUGUGAUCCUCCCUGGCUGACCCAGUGACCUUCAAAGCACUGGUUCAAAAACUAUAUAACACAACUUGAAAAGUGUGCUGGAGCACCAAUGUGCUGAAAGCACACACUCUUACAUCAAGCAGCACACCUUCCAGCAGUUCUUGUAGAGAGUCUUCAAGGGAGCAUAGCGAUAUCCAUACGGCGCCAGUGUGAAACCAGGAGCUGUAUGUGGCGGAUUCACGUAUCAUCAAGUGACUCAGUCGAGUACAGGACGCAUGCAUGGUCGCCAUCAGUCCUGUCUGUGCUUUCUGGCGUGCAGGUACAGCCCCUCAUUCACCCAGGUUAUUUAGUAAAUUUUACCCAUCAUUUAGGGAUGUUAUCUGGUUAUAUGAAUUUUAAAAAUUUAAGUAUGUUUAUGAUUAUUUUUGUUAAUUUAUGAGAAAUUUGUGUGUGUGUUCUCUCUCUCUGUCUUCCAAAAUUAAUUCUUCUGUUUGCCUUUAUUUGCUUCAGUUUGUUUUGUUUAAAUUUUAUUUAUCAAUUUAUUUAUCUUCUUUUUUACAUUUUUUAUUUUAUUUUUUUUAUUUUAGAGAAAUGUCUGACCGUGCAAUGUGGCGAUUUUUGAAGAGGAAACAUCCAGACAAUUCUGAAGAGGCUAGUGAUGAAGAAUUGCAAUCUCCUGACAAAUUUCACUGCACUAGUGCACAAAAAAGGUUUGUCUUUACAAUGAAAGUUGCUUAUCAAUGGGCUUUACAUGGACUGGUGAUCCAGGUUGUCCUAUUCCAUUGUGCCUCAUCUGUGGCAAACAAUUUUCAAAUGCAGCAAUGGCUCCAGCAAAAUUGAAAAGACACUUCACGACAAAUCACAGUCAUAUGAAAAAUAAAAGUGCUGAUUAUUUUAUAAUGCUAUUGGAAUCUAAAAAUAAACAGAGUACAGCUUAAUAAAUUCAGUGUCAGUUAAAAGGCUCAAGAAGCAAGUUAUUUGGUAGCAGAAAUUAUUGCACAGAAAAGGAAAAGUCACACAGUUGGUGAGAACCUAAUAAUGCCAGCAUGUAAAAUUAUAGUGGGUAAAAUGCUAGAACAAGAUGCAGUAUGAGAAAUUGAAAAUGUUCCACUUUCAAACAGUACAAUAAGUCGACGUAUCGAUGACAUGUCACAUGAUGCUGAAGAGGUUUU